CGGCAGAGAGCUCGAACACACAGAAAAAGAAAGAGAGAAAGAAGAAGAAGAAGAAAGAGGGUUUUGUGUAUUCUCGUCAUGGGAGCCUCGCCAAGUCGCAUUAACUACGUAACACAAUGCCCGAACGGAAUUUUGAAGUCGGGGGCGCAUUCUGAUACUGUAGCGAACAGUUCCUCGAUUAACGAUGACCGAUAUGGAUGUGGGGACUUUUAAGAGUUGGAUUUUGGGAGUUCUGAGGUUGCGUCCUUUGAGUGGAAGGACGGCCGUGUCAUCCCUCAUUCUUGAUGGUUUGGGGUGUGACAGUGAACACCUACAAUGAAAACGAAGAGCCUCAGGCUCAUUCUACUACAAAAAAGAAAACUUUUAACUAUUUACCUGCGCAAACAUGGAGGGCGCCUCAUGGAGAAAAAAGGCUCUACCGAUCACCAAAAUGACGAUAGUGGGGUGUAUCAGAUCCAGAAUGUUUUGUAAGGUCGUCAAUUCGUGCUGCGUGGCAGGCACCUCUCCGUGGAGAUUCGCGAUUGCGAAUAAACCCAGCGCCACUCUCCGACGAAAGAAAACUGUAGAUUGUCCAUUGUAAUAUCUAGGACUCCAGGUCAGUUAUUAUCGAACAUGGCGUAGUACCCGCCGACAAA